CGUGCUGUUAAAUAAACGGGGACUUGUGGGCUGUGUCACCUCGUGGGGGCCACCUCGGUGCCAGGGCGGGUGGCCUUGGCCUCCAGCCUGCGGCAGCUACGAGCCGGCGUGGUUAGGCACCCCCGGGGCUCGGGUCGCACCGGGGGCUCUCCCGUCGGUCACAGGAGGGGAGGAUUAGACGGGGCGUGGGAAGAGCUGCCGAGCUUGUGCCCAGGAAGGGUUUUCUGAGGUUUUUUCUACUGCAGCACUGGGGCUCGUGGGGGUCCGUGGUGGUUUCACCUGUGUGACGGUGCCUUUCUGCCUGCCUUUCAGCUGCUGCCUGCUGCUGAUCCGAGCCGUGCGGGAGCUGCCGGACUGCGUCGGGGAGGUUACUGCAGCCCCGUCUUCCCGGGGACUGUGAAUACCGGGGCUGUCCAACCUGCAGCUUUCGGCUUUCAACCCAAACCAGCGCGAGAGCUUUGAUACAAGCCCAAAGAGCACAAAGCCGCAGCGGUGCCUUGGUUCAGGAGCAAUUUUCUCACGUCCUUGUUAAAACCCUGCGGUUGUCCUGCCUUCCUAUCGCUGCUUCCACUGCUCGCGGCUACGUUGUGAGUUUCAGAAGACCAAACACAGAGUGAAUCUCACAAAGUGCCAGUUGCCUCCACUUUCCUGGCUGGGUAGGUGCAGCUUGUAUGUUACUCAGAGAGUAAAAUACAUGCCUAAAAUCCUGACAGUUAGGCGUGGAUUUUCUCGGAGGGGAGUGCUGAAACAGCUGCUGACCUGAAGCGUUGUCUGGUUGUAUUCUUACCAGGAUCUAAACAAAUUACAUAUCAGAAAUCAGUUGUUUGGGGAAAAUCUCCAGCUGUCAUUGCUGUCACCUGAAUGAUGGCCUGUCAACAUGAAGCACAGAGAUUGCCUAAUCUGUUCUUGUUAUUGGAUUAUGUGACUAUGGUACGCUGCUCUGGCUUCUGUCCAUAACCCGUCACAACCGGCACCGUGUUUCUGCCCAGCCUCCGAGCACUUCAAACACGGGCAGGUAGGGAAGCGUGUCCUCCCCGCCGUGCCUACCGGGUGCCAUGAGUGGCCAGCAAGUACCGGAGCCAGGACGUGUCCAGGACCCAGCCGAGAGCCUGGCGAGCAAAGUGCUGGGUCCCCAGCACCCAGGCCUGUGGCCCCAGGGGGACUUCAGCCAAGCCCCUGAGGCGGAGGCGGGUGGAAGCGUUGGGUGCCCACACCCUCCUCGGCAUGCCUGCUGCCCCGCGCAAGCUGGGAUUUGUGCGCUGGCACCCUCGCAGCGCUCCCAGUAACCCUCCAGCCCCGGGCUGCGGGAUGAGCCAGGCUACGCGGGCGCUGGGGCCCUCGGUGGGAUGCCGGCAGCUCCUGGUGGGAGCCGAGCUCCAGACCUUGCACGAGUGCUCCGCUGGCCAGCCGCUGUCUGCUGCCGUCAGGCACAGCUGCAGCCUGCCUGGCUGUGGGGACAGCGUCUUAAUCCCACUGCUUCAAAAAAAGAACCAAAAAUUCCUUCUCCUGCUGAAGUGCUGUUCAGGGAAGGACAGAGAAGCCCAGCGGUAUGGCUCAGCGAGGGAUGAGAGUUGAGCUUCAGUGAUGUUAUAUCAGAUGAAUUUAUCCUCUCAGCCUUGGUCAAACUGUCUGCAUACCUGGUCCCUAAAUCAUUGUCUGCAUUAUCUUGUUAUUAUUUCUGUCUGCCUCACAGAGCUGUUAAAGUCCUGGGCUUAAGAACAAAAAAUGCCUCUCCAAGACAGAGUCAGUGCCCUCUCCUGUUGACCGUUUCCCCACGUGCAUCCCUCAGCAGCAUAGCUGUGUAUGCCAGAGAAGGAAAUAAGGAGGAAAACUUGGUCCCCACUGGCUUAAGCCUUGAGACACAAGGUACUGUUCUUCCUCAGCCACUUGCAAGGAAAUGGCUUGCCACCAAGGUGGCAAACAGCUGAAAAAUAAGAUCUGCAGAUUGUUGGUAUAUGCUCUUGGAAUGGUCCCUGGCAGUGGGAUGGAGGUGUGACAGGGGGCUUAGAAAGAGAUGUUUGGAUCAAGAGCUCUGCACAAGCACUUCAGUCCUUCGCAGUUUUCGUUAGGUGGACAUCUGCAGAGGCCCAGGGUGAUGUGUUUUCCCGUUUGCCUGUAUCUAAGCAGCUUUGCCUUGGAGGUAACAUGGACCUUGUGGGGCUCCUGCACUGAGGCUGACUGCUUCCAGCCCUGGGAUCAUAACGCAUACGUGGGAGAGAUUUGAAAAAGGAAGGAUUUCAACUGGAGUUUGAUGCUUGUGUUUCUUAGGCACAUCCCCACCUAAAUUCACCGGCUGCUGAAGGGCGCAGUGCCUGUUUUCUUCUGCUUUCAUUUCAGUUCACUUGCUUCAUUCCAGCCCCGUCACAGCGGUUCUUGGGCCCAGCCCAGCACUUAGCAGCAGUAGCACAGGAAUUGAUUUCAGCAGGAGCAGACAAUCCCCUAAAUUAUUAAUGUCGAUAAUGGACAAACCACAGGACACAAGCAAAAAUAUACAGAUGAAAGAGCUGAAGAAGUGAGAGGGUGGCAGCUGGAACCAUCAGGGUGAUGAGAGAGAACUGGGAUAGAGAGAGAUGUCCCAGGUGGCUGGGGCCAAGACGGAGCACAAGCAGAGAAGGUUUUGUGCUAAUCCAAAAGCACAGAAGUGCACCUCUUGGUGACGUUCCUAAAUGCUGUGGGUACAUUUGCUGUGUCCUGUCAGGGCUUUAUAACCAGCAACAAGCAGCUCACAUGCAGAAAGUCCUACAUGGCAAAAGACGUGUGCCCCAUGCCUGUAUUAAAAACCUGCUGGGGGGCCAGGGGGGCAGGGGACAUCACUGUGUUGACCCCAUCCCCUGUGUGAAGGUGGCCUUUGAGGUUGCCCCGUCUGUACGACACUGGGUGGCUCCUUGGCAGCCCGCCUGGCACGUCCUAGUUGUGUUUCUCAGAACCCCUCCGUGUUUUCAGCUGAUUUGCUUUGACAUCAGCAGCCGGCAAGAAGUUCUCUGUGUCGGGGUGCGUGGGAGUGCUAUGUGACACCUUAAUCAUGCUAAACAGGAACACACAUUCAGAUUUCCUCAGCGUUUCAAAGAAAUGUGAUUUCCUUUGUGCUGCAAAGAAAGAGUCGAUUUGAUUGCAACUCUCUGUGGAGAUCAGCUCCGGUGCCUGUGAAUUAGGGUGCCAGGAUCUCAUUCUGGGAAAAAAAGGGAGAUAAAACAUACCAGGCUUUCGUGCUGCAACCGUCAGGGUUAGGUUUCUUGCUGGUAACUGGGGAUUGUUUUGAGGAGAGCUGUUUAAUUUAAUUGGCCAAGGUAUCAAGAAAUCAGAUUCUGUUCAAAAAUAAAAAUAAAAAUCUGUAUAGAGUCAAAGCAUCAGCAAAUACUGUACUAAAUCCCAACUUCCCAAACAGUUGUUAAUCAUUUAGCAAAGACUUCAGAAAUGAAUUCAAAGUCCAAAAGAGUGGUUCACUGGUUAGUGUAUUUCUCCUCCCUGUAUGAUUGACAAACAUUUCAUAUCUCAGUGAAAACUCAGCUAGCCAUGGUUCAGUAUAGAUUUAGCUGAGCAUUUGCUGGCCCAGGUGAGACAAAAUAAUGACAGGCAAGAGUCAUGAGAGACCUUCUAGCACAGGGCCAGGCAGAGAGCGAUACGUGCCAUAGGGUGGGAUUUUAUAGCUGGUGUGAUAUGUGAUAUGUGGCAAGGCCAUUGGAAAAGCUGGAUUUGCCUGUGUGCUCGUCCUUCUGACAGCCUUACUCCCUCGGCAUGGCUCAUCCAGAGGCACAGGACUGCUUGGAUGCUCGGCAUGAAAGUGCCUUUCAUUUUUUAUGUGAUUUAUGAGAUAACCUUAAAAACUCUGCGUUUGGUAAAUUACUGUGCAUAGUAAUAAGAAAAGCUCCUGUUGGACCCGAUAAAUGAAUUUGAAUGAUGAUGCUCAGUUUAGAAAAUGGCUGUGUUCCUGCUAGAUGUGUGCCCAAAACACAGGUCUGAAAUGAGGUAUUGUCCUGUAACCGCUGUCAUGGGGCAGUAAGGCUUUCCAUGGGGUUCACCAGGCAUGUGAUAAUUGUUGCUGCCCAACAGUUUUAGUGUUCAGCACUGAAUUAACUGUUGCCUAACCCUAUUCACAUAGCGUGCAAAAAAAGUAGGUCACUCAAGACAGCAGGUAUUGCUCAGCUUGGAAAUCCACUUUGGCACGUUCACAGUUCAGCAGCUCCUCUGGAGGAAGGGUUACAUCCAUCACUACCAGGCUCCUACCCCAGCUGCCUCUUCAGAAGAGCAGCGACCUGCAUUCCUCUUUCUCCCCAGUGCAGCGUGAGGGUGCUUUUCCUUUGACAAGUGGACUGCUCCAAGACAGGGAAUGUCCCCUUCCCUCUUGAGUUCCAACGAUCUUCCUGUUUUAAUUGGGCACUAACGAUAAGCUCGCCUCGGUCUCAUGGGAAACGAUGUCUCUGCUGCAAGAGGAAGCUGAACAGAGGAUGCAUUUCUCCCCUUCUGCCUUGGUCUGCUGUUACUCUGCGAUGCUGCAAAAGCCAGGUGCUGCUCUAGAGCAGGAUAAGCCCUGCUCCCUGCGGCUGCCAAGGGCCACCGGGCUGCACGGUGGUGUCCAGGGCCCAGGGACAACAGGGUAGUCCCCAUGAGGAUGGCCCAGGAGCUGGCUGCUGGUAGAGGAGAGCAGCACUGCCCUGGAAAGCGGGAUGGUACGGACCAGCACAAGCAGGGUGGGCUUCUCCUGGGAGCCUCUUAAGAGGAGUUCAGCGUUAGAUUGACAGCGUUGGAUGUUUGUCCACCACGAGCUGCUCUUUCCCACGGUGCUCAGGCACUCUCCUUUGCCUUGCUCAGGGGAUUAAGGCAGCUUGCCUGAUCAGUUCUUGGCACCCAACCUACCUAAUAUUUUGUGCUCUGAAUCCUGCCUGCUGGGCUGGGGUUAAUUAGCCUGGUCAUCUGCAGGAAAGCAGACCCAGGCAGGAGUUUUCCACAGCUCCCUCGCAGCUAUGUUGCCACACAGCCCUACCCCCAAGCGGGCUUUCUGUCGCCUCCCGCUCUUGCCUUAUUUAAGCUCCCCAAGCUGCGUGCCCGGCUGCUGGCCGGUAUGGCAGGAGGCAGCCCUGUGGUGGCACGUUUCAGCGCGAUGCAAACGGCAAAGGGCUUCGCUCCCUCAGCUCAAACACAUCUACUCGCAUCUUUAUAUGGAUUGAAGAGCAGCGCUGGCACCAGGCCAGCAUCCAUCACUGCUCCUUCUCACCGGGUAAAGCAAGGGGCUCUCCCGCUAUGCGUUUGUCAGAGCUUGGGGAUCAAUGUCAUUUUAGAGCUGUGGUUAAGCAGUCACACAAAAUUACCUGUGUAAAAAUACAGUGCAGGGAAUGUUAGCUAAGCUUCACUUAGAUCACUGCAGAUGUGUUAUUUUGGGAGAGCAUUCAUGCUGUGCAGUCCUUAUUCAGAUAAAACUGCAAUUGACGUAAUUUUUUCCAUAAUGCUGCUUUUAUUUGAAAUCAUAUCUAUACAUCUUGUACAAAUCAAACUAAUAAUAAGCAUUUCCAUGACAUACUCUACUUAUGGAUUAAUUUUGGAAUUUAGUUUAUAGACAUGAUUUGACUUCAGUGGGAUUAUGUCCCUAAAAGGACGGCAGCAGCAGGGGACAAAUGCUAGAAAGUGGCUUUUUGUCUAUAAUUCAACAUAUUUGUUUGUGGAACCCAGAACAAUGUUCUAAUCUUCCAUCUGAAAACUGCCUUGUCACCUCCUUUGCCUCUCAUCUCCUCCGCGACUCGGUAUUUCUUACAAGGCAGGUAUUGUCAAAUCUCUUUCUUCAAACAUAUAAUAACCACCUUUUGUAUUGAACAGGCGUAUAAAUUACUCAGCUUAUAUGACAGAACAGAAAAUAAAGAGUUGAGUGUCUGGCAGGGGUGCCGAAGAGUGAUGUUAUUAUAACCUUACUGUGAAAGAUUUGCCAACAGAAAGUUACAUAUCAGUGAGGUAACCGACAACAGUAUUGCCUUUAUUACGCCAAAUAUUAGAGAACAUAAUUGUAUGAUAUAUUUCCAGACAAAUUGGACCUCUCUUAUCAGGAUGAUCAGUAGCCAUCCUUGUGCAUCACAUAUGGGAUUUAUAGCUUAAAUAGACCCCAAGCAUUGAAAUACGUACAGUCACAGGGUUUACGCCUGUAAGUAUUACAACCUUAUUAUUCAGCCCUUCUUGGGAAUUUUUCCAAGACUUUUUUUUAAAGUUGAAAAUAGUGUUCUUGCAAAAUUAAAAUCUUGCAGGUUUUCAGUUUGCCUUCAUGUAAAUUUUACUAGGAAUAGAAUAGAUAUUUCAAGGUGGAGCGGUCCAAAUGAAACCAAAUCACUGUGCCUGGCUUGGAGCAGUUUCAAACAUCCAUCCAUCCUUGCCUGUGCCGCUGUCAGAUGUAUGGGAUUUAUGUUCAGACACUUUGUCCCACCAGUUUCUGUGAACCGGCUUGGCUUCCCAAGGCACCUGCAGUCAUCAGCUGGGUAGAGCAACGCAAUCCACCCUGGCAGCCAGCAAACACAGUGUCCCUUGGGCACAGAAGUGAACAGAAGCACACUGUAGCCUUGUAGGAAAAGCUGAGUAUUUAAGUUUAUAGGGGAAGAGUACAAGGUUGAGAGGCAGCUUAGAUGAAGGGCACCUGUAGCUGCCUUUCCACGUUGGGGUUUAUCCCCUCAAACUUGUACGGCCCUUCUUAAGCCUCAGAGUAAAGUGGCCUUUCCAAGGGUAAUUGGAACAGCACAACACAGCUACUGAAGCAGCUUCCCAAAACAAUAUCUCACCAGCUCACUUCUCGUCCUUGGUGGCUGACUGCAUCCCGAGGCACCCCCGUUACCUGGUGACCAGCGGAACAGCUAACCCUCUCUGGGACAUCACCUACAGCACCCGGUCAGUAACAAGCAGCGUUACCAUCAGCGCUUUUUGCUUGAUUUAUGGUGCUUGUAAGCAAUCAGCUGACUUUGGAUGGAGGCUUAGGAUCAACCUGGCUGAAGCAGAAAAAACAAAAAAGCUAGAAGCUCUUUCCUGGUUGCUGCUCGGUUGCAGCUGGGAUUUGGUGCAUGGCUCCACCUCACGGCAGCUGCACAAGUACGCAAGGAAAGAGUUUGAGCGGCGAUCUGCUUUGUGGGGGGAUGAAUGACACCGUUUACUUCUUCGCAAAGUGAUCGCUGCUUGUCACCAAAUCAAACAGACUUAUCACAGGCUCUGGAAAUCAGGGUGAGGUGCAGCGAAGUCUCGGUGUUGAGCUUUUUCUGCUCAAGGUGUGAAAGUCGCACGCAGGCUUUGGCUGCUUGGUCUCGUUUCCCCUUUGCGUUACAGGUGGGGUGAGUAGUGCUGCCCGCUGGAAAGGCCACCCAGUACUCCCAAUGUCCUACUCUUUUUUCAUGUAUUUACAAAUAUUAGUUGAUAAAUUUUUGGGAGGCUGAAAAUUUGCAGGCCCAGUGUCUGCUUUGGAGAAAGUUGUUGCUGAAGUAAACUAGUAGUUUACUAGUAGGAUGCCGGCUGAGAGGGACGCGUGGCUGCUCUGAAACAGGUGCUCGCACUUCAUUAUUGUCCUUUUCAACCCCCUCUGUGCUAAUGGCUCAGCUCGGCAACGGGACAUUUGGGGGCUCGGGGCAGAGCCGUGCUUUGUGCGUACUUCUUGCUGUUCCCGUCCGAACUAAACCAAAACCAUUAGACGUACAAUGUGAUGGCCUCAGCAGAGACGCCUGUAGUGCCCAGUGCCCUGUGCCCAGUGCCCGGUGCCAGCCCUGGCUCCCCGCAGCUGCCACGGACCAGCAGCGGAGCCCCUGCCACCAGCACUUCACCAUCUCUGCUGCCCUCCCAUGGCACAUCUAGGGGAAGAAAAUGAGCCUGUUUCAGGCAAAUUCAAAGGCAUGGUUUGAAUACGGUAUCUUUCAUCUAGGAAUGCUAAUACAGGCGGUUUUGCAAGUGCGGCUGUAAGCCUUUCCGCAAUGACAACGCUGAGAACUGACCGUCACUGGGCUUCAGCGCAUUCAGAGCCGUGUUCAGCAAUACAUUGGAGCUUCUGAAAGGUCUUGAAAUAUACACCUAACAAACCAGCUCAUCCAUCUGUGCUUGUCCAGGCAGGGACAAGUCCUUGUCCUCUUUGUUGGCGAAACUGAGGCAGCGGCUUGCCCAAAGUCACCCAGGAGCAGCUGUAGAGCUGGAAGAGAGCAGCUGGGGCUGCAGUCCCGGGGGGGUCUGCCCUGACAUGCAAAACCCGUGCCGUGCAGACCACCUGCACCCACGCAGGAGCUCUGGCGAGGGGACUGGGAAGACCGCAGUGCAAUGCAAUGUUUUGAGUCCCGUGAAAAAGGACCACAGUCUUUCUGAGUGCUGCUGUUGUCUCAGGAUGUCUACGCAGCACUUUCGGUAGAAAGCCGUCCCCAUCAUCUUCGCUCCUUAUCAACCAUAUCAACCUCCUCUGUAUUUGCUGUCCAGACAAUUUGAGGACAAAUAAGGAAAGAGCAUGAACUGCCAGCUGCUUUCCAUAGAGUUCACUGGUUUCUCCUGAAUGUUUUGCAAGAGUUUUGUUUAGCCCUGCGUUGACUUCCGUCUGUAGCAGUAUGAACAAGCAAAUGAGCCAGCAUCAUCCUCAUGUGAAUAUAAACGGCCCGACAGUGGUCACACAACGGCAGCACAUCAGACAGUGGUGCUUGAAAUGUGACCUGAUGCUACAAAACCACAGCAUAGCCUCAGUUAUGUCCUUUGUUUUAUUAUUAUGCUCUUUGUUCUCAAGGUCUGUAGCAAACCCUACAGAAAUACAGUGCCAGUGUUUGGGAUUUUAGGGUAUUUUUUUGAACAAGUUGUUGCAAAUCAGCUGCUAAAAAUAUGUCUGUAAUGGCUUUAGAAAACCACAUUUCCUGUAAAAUCAGCUAGGAUUGUCACCCUGCCUGGGCUUUCUUGUCCUUCUGCAGUAACCCAGCACGUCUGUAGAAGAUGUAUGGCCAUUUUUUCCCUGUCUUUUCUCAACGAAAAUGUAUUCAGAAAGACUGCUGGUCUUCUCCACUUCAAGGGAAGACUAAUUAGAAGACAUUGUCAUUAGGCUGGUAGCACCAGCCUAUCCCCAAAACAUUUAUCUUCCCUCUGCACAGUAACAACUGGAAAAGAAGGUAGGGUUAAACCAGAGUGAUGCAGGAGCUCCACACACACCGAGGAGAAACUGCAUCUUGUUUUACCUUCAGCUGAUCCAAUAUUUUCUGCAGAGCCUGGUUUUUGAUAGAAUGAUUAAACACCAUUUUUGAACAGGCCUGGGAAGGCAGCAAAUUUGUUCUCAGCACACACAUAAAUAAAGCCAUGACGUCUGAAGGUCUAAAAAAGUUUGUAAAAGGUCUAUCAGCAAGAAAUAGCAUUUCCAAGGCAACUCCACUGUCAACUUUUCUGCUUGAAUAUUUCAACAGAAAUUAUUAGUGCGGAUUUUUUUUUAAUCAUCGUGGAGGUUUUCGAAAAACUUGGUGAUCCUUCUUCCAUCUGUGAAAUGCUCUUUUUCUUUUUAGCGUAUCUUUGACAAAUUGCUUACUGUCUUUUUAUUUUUUUUCCUCCCCAAAUCAACUGUGAUCUGUCUUAAUGUAUAUUCGGAUAUUCACAGAUGUUUUGGCACAAUAGAUACUUCCUUUUCUCUUUGCCAUCGCAAGAAUCAGUUGUUUGCUGGCUGGGUGGAUUUUUCGUUAACAAAUCUCAAAAAACAUAAUGCUUUGCUUAAUUAUAGAGUCACUUUUUUCAGCUUCCUUAUCAGAAGAUAGAGGUAAUUGUGCAACAUGCAGAUCAAAUUCCAGGUAUUUCAGCUAACUGUGCUGUUCAAGGACUAUUGUUCUGAGCUUCUGAGUGGGUUUGUUACAUUAAUUUUUCAUGAACAUUUACAGCAGUAAAGAUUACCAGCUGGUUUACUGCUAAUAAGUAAUGAUCAUGAAAGGCCAAAUUAAAAGCUGUUUUGUAAUUUAAAGAGACAAACCUCCAGCUGAUUCUUUCUUUUCCAUUACUUGCAAUAUUCACAAUGUCAGUUUUGGAUUUGUGUUUUGUGUUUUCAGAUCUUUAGCCCUCUUCUUUCUUAUCCACAGGGGCCAAGUCAGGGCAGAGACAGCAAGAGGCGGACAAGGACAGCAGAAGCAGGGACUGUCUUUUUUCAUUGGCAGCGCUGGAUGAAGAUGUAUGUGAAACUUCAGCCUUAAACCAAUCAUGCCUCAGCUCUUCACCUGUGAGAAUAGAGUUAAUAAACUCUCACUGUUUUCCUGUCCUGUCUUCUGCUAUUACCUGUGCUACGAUCCAAAGGGGCGCUGGGUUUAGCUAUUUAGCAAUUCUAUAAUAAUUGCAGAUGCAGAUGCAAAGUGGCAUUCUUCGUUAUGAAACACAAUAUCUGUUGAUAAUUAGCUAUAGAUGAACUUGAACUCUGCAUUUUUUAGCUAAGAAAUUUUUUCUUGUAUGCUUUUGUUUUCUGAGAGAAACAUAAAACAAAAAUAUCUGUUUUUUAAGUACCCAGCCCCACACUUCCUGACUGACCCGGUAUAAACCAUUGCUGCUCUGCACACAUUAUUUCCUCUCUUUGAAAAAAAAAAAAAAAAUUACAUUACCCACAGUCUGGCAAUACCUUACUUGGCAUUGACCUUAACUCUCAUAUUCUGGGGGUAGCAAGCUGCUCUUCACGAGAAGGUAAGCUCAAAACAGAGCAAAGCAUAUAUGUAAUGCAUGAUGAGAAGGGUUUGAGACAUCUGCUUCUACAGCCCUGGUCUUUUCUGAUUCUGUUGACUGGUCCCCUCCCUGACAUCAAAGUGCCUCACUGAUGUCCACUGCAGGAGGAGGCUGAAAACCUUUUGCUUUUCUCUUUCUGCAUUGGGAAGGAUUUUCUUUUGUUGCUUUUUUAGUUUAGCUAUUUUCUUAGCUAAAUGAAUAAUUUCUGCAAAAGCACUGCUAUUGCAAUGCCAGAUGCUAAAGUCUGGCUAUUGUUAGACUACGCACACCAUCAAAAAGCAACUUGAGCUCUUGUCUUUGCUUUGUGACUGAGGCUUUUCUUCCCCAGGAGUAGCUGAGGUCCCCUCAUGCUGCUGAAGACUUCUGCCAAGUCAGCAGCUCUGCGUGUUAGCUCCAUCUGUGCUGCCAGACCAGUGGAAGCUGGUGCCGGUCAUGUACAGGGAGCAGGUUCCUCUUACUUUCCUGUAGAGGUCCUAUAAGGAACCACUUCUCCAGUUGCAUUUCUGCAUGUUGUUUGUUUGUUGGUUGGUUUUUUGAAUUUUUAUUUAGUUGUGUGGGGAGUUUUUUUGGUCAAACGGUAUCAUAGUUUGUUUUGUUUUCAUGGAAUACCUUGAAAAAUGAACUCUGUUUUGCCAUAUUUGAACAUUGUUUUGAUACAAUAUUUGGAUUUUGUUUAAAUCUGCUAAAAUUUAUUUAUAAACAGAUUUAUCUAUAGAUCUGUUUAUAAAUUAUUAUUUUAGUAUGAUUCAAUAGAAAACUGGUAUUAUUCAGCUUCAACUUUUUCAUUAUUUUUAAAAUAAAAAAUAAAAUUGGUGCAAAUUAUCAGUUGUUGACAAAGGGAACCUUCUUUUAAUCUAUUUGCCCCUGGGGUAAUAAACCAGGCGCUGUCUUCUGGUUUAACUUUUAAAUCCUCAGUUCCACGUGUAAGCCGUUUUUGUCCUGACAGCAUGUGGCUGAACACAGGCUGCACAGAUAU